rnacentral:rRNA from 1 species
GAUCCUGGCUCAGGACGAACGCUGGCGGCGCGCCUAACACAUGCAAGUCGAACGGAGCUGAGAGGAGCUUGCUUUUCUUAGCUUAGUGGCGAACGGGUGAGUAACGCGUGAGUAACCUGGCCUGGAGUGGGGGACAACAGUUGGAAACGACUGCUAAUACCGCAUAAGCCCACGAUCUGGCAUCGGAUUGAGGGAAAAGGAUUUAUUCGCUUCAGGAUGGACUCGCGUCCAAUUAG